AGAAAUCCGCUCUCAGGAGGAAGUGUGCCGUCUGCAAAAUCGUGGUCCACACAGCCUGCAUUGAGCAACUAGAGAAGGUAAGCGAGCGCCACCUGCUGGCGAGUGUGUUGGCUUCGGUCACUUACCAAGAUCUGGUGUCAAUGUCUAACUUUUUAAAAAACAAAACCAAAAAUUGUUGAGUUCAGGAUGACUUACCAGAAUAACAAUGAAAAGACAAUAUAUAAAGGUCAGCCAUGGUCUUGUUUUCCUGGGUUUAAUUUGAUAUUAUGUUGCAUUGAACUUUGGGAAAGCUUGGCAACACUUACAAUAAGCCUUUUAAGAUUGUAGCUUCCAUAUGUUUCUCUCGGUGAGUUCACAUAUUCCUAAAGGAGCUCGAAGGGAGAGUUAGCCAAGCCAGCCGAAAGCAGCUCCCAGAUGCUGCUGCAGACCUCACGGGCAGCAGUUUUUGCUGGUGCAGCAUGAAAUGUGUGGCUAAGCCAGGAGUGGCAUCCCAAGGGUGGUGUCUUGUCUCCAGAAGUGGAUUCUGAACUGUCUAUUCAUUUACCAUCUGGGGGGAAGGGCAGAGCUCUGCGAGAGAGCUGCUUGCUGCUCUCAUUUAUAAUUCCUCCUCCGUGUCCAGGCGAGACACUGAGUGGGAUCUAUAUUCGUGCGCUGCCCUUGGCAAUCACGGUGGGACUAUUUUAGCUUUGUACAAUGUUUGCUUAGCUUCGCCAGCACCUCCAGCUGCUGUCAACCUAUAUCUCACAGCCAUGCCUAACACUUGGACUAGAUUUUUCUCGUCUGCACUCUACUUCACUUUAUACAGGAGCAAAAGAGCUCACGAGGACACUUCUCAUCCACAGAGCAAGGCAGUGCUGAGUCCUUUUACAGGGAAUAUCUGUGCGUGUGUUUGAAUGGUUAUCACAGCAGUUAGGACUUCUCAGGUUUAUAUUUUCUACUUUAAAAAAAAAAGC
rnacentral:lncRNA from 1 species